rnacentral:rRNA from 1 species
UCCUGACUGACCGAUAGUGAACCAGUACCGUGAGGGAAAGGCGAAAAGAACCCCGGCGAGGGGAGUGAAAAAGAACCUGAAACCGUGUACGUACAAGCAGUGGGAGCACGCUUAGGCGUGUGACUGCGUACCUUUUGUAUAAUGGGUCAGCGACUUAUAUUCUGUAGCAAGGUUAACCGAAUAGGGGAGCCGAAGGGAAACCGAGUCUUAACUGGGCGUUAAGUUGCAGGGUAUAGACCCGAAACCCGGUGAUCUAGCCAUGGGCAGGUUGAAGGUUGGGUAACACUAACUGGAGGACCGAACCGACUAAUGUUGAAAAAUUAGCGGAUGACUUGUGGCUGGGGGUGAAAGGCCAAUCAAACCGGGAGAUAGCUGGUUCUCCCCGAAAGCUAUUUAGGUAGCGCCUCGUGAAUUCAUCUCCGGGGGUAGAGCACUGUUUCGGCAAGGGGGUCAUCCCGACUUACCAACCCGAUGCAAACUGCGAAUACCGGAGAAUGUUAUCACGGGAGACACACGGCGGGUGCUAACGUCCGUCGUGAAGAGGGAAACAACCCAGACCGCCAGCUAAGGUCCCAAAGUCAUGGUUAAGUGGGAAACGAUGUGGGAAGGCCCAGACAGCCAGGAUGUUGGCUUAGAAGCAGCCAUCAUUUAAAGAAAGCGUAAUAGCUCACUGGUCGAGUCGGCCUGCGCGGAAGAUGUAACGGGGCUAAACCAUGCACCGAAGCUGCGGCAGCGACGCUGAUGCGUUGUUGGGUAGGGGAGCGUUCUGUAAGCCUGUGAAGGUGUGCUGUGAGGCAUGCUGGAGGUAUCAGAAGUGCGAAUGCUGACAUAAGUAACGAUAAAGCGGGUGAAAAGCCCGCUCGCCGGAAGACCAAGGGUUCCUGUCCAACGUUAAUCGGGGCAGGGUGAGUCGACCCCUAAGGCGAGGCCGAAAGGCGUAGUCGAUGGGAAACAGGUUAAUAUUCCUGUACUUGGUGUUACUGCGAAGGGGGGACGGAGAAGGCUAUGUUGGCCGGGCGACGGUUGUCCCGGUUUAAGCGUGUAGGCUGGUUUUCCAGGCAAAUCCGGAAAACUAAGGCUGAGGCGUGAUGACGAGGCACUACGGUGCUGAAGCAACAAAUGCCCUGCUUCCAGGAAAAGCCUCUAAGCAUCAGGUAACAUCAAAUCGUACCCCAAACCGACACAGGUGGUCAGGUAGAGAAUACCAAGGCGCUUGAGAGAACUCGGGUGAAGGAACUAGGCAAAAUGGUGCCGUAACUUCGGGAGAAGGCACGCUGAUAUGUAGGUGAAGCGACUUGCUCGUGGAGCUGAAAUCAGUCGAAGAUACCAGCUGGCUGCAACUGUUUAUUAAAAACACAGCACUGUGCAAACACGAAAGUGGACGUAUACGGUGUGACGCCUGCCCGGUGCCGGAAGGUUAAUUGAUGGGGUCAGCGCAAGCGAAGCUCUUGAUCGAAGCCCCGGUAAACGGCGGCCGUAACUAUAACGGUCCUAAGGUAGCGAAAUUCCUUGUCGGGUAAGUUCCGACCUGCACGAAUGGCGUAAUGAUGGCCAGGCUGUCUCCACCCGAGACUCAGUGAAAUUGAACUCGCUGUGAAGAUGCAGUGUACCCGCGGCAAGACGGAAAGACCCCGUGAACCUUUACUAUAGCUUGACACUGAACAUUGAGCCUUGAUGUGUAGGAUAGGUGGGAGGCUUUGAAGUGUGGACGCCAGUCUGCAUGGAGCCGACCUUGAAAUACCACCCUUUAAUGUUUGAUGUUCUAACGUUGACCCGUGAUCCGGGUUGCGGACAGUGUCUGGUGGGUAGUUUGACUGGGGCGGUCUCCUCCUAAAGAGUAACGGAGGAGCACGAAGGUUGGCUAAUCCUGGUCGGACAUCAGGAGGUUAGUGCAAUGGCAUAAGCCAGCUUGACUGCGAGCGUGACGGCGCGAGCAGGUGCGAAAGCAGGUCAUAGUGAUCCGGUGGUUCUGAAUGGAAGGGCCAUCGCUCAACGGAUAAAAGGUACUCCGGGGAUAACAGGCUGAUACCGCCCAAGAGUUCAUAUCGACGGCGGUGUUUGGCACCUCGAUGUCGGCUCAUCACAUCCUGGGGCUGAAGUAGGUCCCAAGGGUAUGGCUGUUCGCCAUUUAAAGUGGUACGCGAGCUGGGUUUAGAACGUCGUGAGACAGUUCGGUCCCUAUCUGCCGUGGGCGCUGGAGAACUGAGGGGGGCUGCUCCUAGUACGAGAGGACCGGAGUGGACGCAUCACUGGUGUUCGGGUUGUCAUGCCAAUGGCACUGCCCGGUAGCUAAAUGCGGAAGAGAUAAGUGCUGAAAGCAUCUAAGCACGAAACUUGCCCCGAGAUGAGUUCUCCCUGACUCCUUGAGAGUCCUGAAGGAACGUUGAAGACGACGACGUUGAUAGGCCGGGUGUGUAAGCGCAGCGAUGCGUUGAGCUAACCGGUACUAAUGAACCGUGAGGCUUAACCUUACAACGCCGAAGCUGUU